CCUGACCAUCAGCCAAAAGACAGAGAGGGGCUGCUUUCGCUCUCCCGUCAUCGUCCCAUCCGCCGGCCACAGGGCACUCUUCUACCCCGCCGCCGGCUAGCCGCUUCCGCCUCAGACUCUUCUUGUUAUUCAAGUCUCCAAGAUCCGACUGAGCUCUCCUCAAUCGGCAGGGGAAGAGCAAGGCCGGCAGCCAUGGAGCUGGUGGUGGGAGCUUCGGAGGCGACGAUGAAGUCGGUCAUGGGCAAGCUGGGCGGCCUCCUCGCCCAGGAGUACACCCUGAUUCGGGGCGUCAACGGCGACCUCCAGUACAUCAACGACGAGCUGGCCAGCAUGCAGUCCUUCCUCCGGGACCUCACCGCCGGCGGCGCCGGCCGAGCCCAGACCCACGGCCACCGGAUGAAGGACUGGAUGAAGCAGAUCCGCGACAUCACCUACGACAUCGAGGAUUGCAUCGACGACUCCGCACACCGCCUCCACGGCCUCCGCUCCGACAUGUGCUGCUACUACUUCGCCAACAGCGUCUACGAGGUCCUCACCUGGUGGCCUCGCCGCGACGUCGCCGCCAAGAUCUCCGUCCUCAAGAUGCGGGCUCAGCAGAUCGGCGAGCGGCGGGAGAGGUACGGCGUCAACAACCCGGAGGCCGCCGGCGGAUCUGAGGGUUCUCAUGCCGGAAACGGCACCGCUGCUGGAUUCGACGCCGCCGACAACCAGGAGGCGAGCCUUGAGCUCGUCGCCAUGAAGGAUCCGGUGGGCGUGGAGGACCACAUGAAAGAGCUGGAGGAGUGGCUGACCAACGACAAGAACAGCUCCGGCGUGCUGUAUGUUGUCGGGUUCGGAGGGGUGGGGAAGACCACCAUUGCGACCGCCCUGUACCGGAAAUUUGGGGACCAAUUCGACCACCGCGCCAUGGUCAACGUGUCUCAGAGCUCCGACAUCAACGCUGUCCUCACCAACAUCAAGAAUCAAGUCAUGCCGCAGUCCAGGGGCCAAAUGCAGCAAGCCGGCGGAGGCGUACUCGGCCGGCUCAAGCGAGGCACCUCAGCAUUGGCGGCCAAGUGCUGCAGCGCCGGCGCCUCAGAGGAAACGCGUGGUGAGACGAAGCUGGACCGGCUCAAGAAAGAGCUCACGGGACACUUUGACAACAGCAGUUACUUGGUCUUGGUUGAUGAUGUUUGGUCUGCAGCAACUUGGGGCCAGAUCAGAAAGUCACUUCCUACAAGUAAUAAGCGCACCAGAAUAAUAGUUACUACACGAUUUCAAGCUGUUGCUAAAACACGCAGAGGGGAAGAAGGUGAUCAUACUCGUAAAGUUUCCCCUCUUGGUGUUGAAGAAUCUGAGAGGCUAUUUAAGCAGGCAUUCUUUGAAUCCAAAGGUAGUGAGGCCUUCUUUGAAUCCAAAGGUAGCGAGGUUGAUAAGGUUCAAGAGGAAGUUUGGAAGAUGUGCGGGGGGCUGCCGUUGGCCAUAGUUAUCAUGGCUGGUCAUGUAGCCUGCAACCCAAACAAAUCAGCGGCCGAAUGGUUGAAGGUCUGCAAAUCUCUAUUUCCAGAGUCAGGGAAGGAUCAUGGGAAAGAUGGUAGGAGAGACCUUACCCAGGAGGAAGUUGGUAGGAUUGUUAGUCAUUGCUACAAUGACAUGCCUGCUGACAUCAAGACUUGCUCCCUGUAUUUGAGCAUAUUUCCAAAGGGCCAGAAAAUCAGCAGGAAGCGUUUGACAAGGCGAUGGAUAGCUGAAGCUUUCAUUGCUGAGAAGCAGGGCCUGAGUGUGGAGGACGUUGCAGAGACAUAUUUCAAUCAUCUCAUAAGAAGGAAGAUCAUCCGACCGGUGGAGCACAGCAGCAAUGGGAAGGUGAAGAAAUGCAUAGUGCACGACAUGGUCCUUGAACACAUUGUAGCCAAGGCAAGUGAGGAGAAUUUCAUCACUGUGAUUGGUGGUAACUGGCUUAUGCAGCUACCUAGCAGCAAGGUCCGCCGGCUGUCCCUCCAAGAAAGCGAUUCCAAACGUGCAAAUGAUACAGAGAAGAUGAACCUGUCACAUGUCCGGUCACUGACCAUGUUUGGGAGUUUGAACCAACUGCCUUCCCAUUCAUUCAAGUUUGGAAUUGUACAAGUCCUGGAUCUUGAAGGCUGCAUGGGUUUCAAAGCGCAUCAUACAGAGGAGAUAUGCAAGAUGCUUCUUCUCAAGUAUCUCAGCCUCCGAAGAAGUGACACUAAACAACUUCCAAAAUCGAUUGGAAAGCUUGAGAACCUUGAGACUCUCGACAUUAGAGAGACAAGUGUUGUUGAGUUGCCUAAAACCGUAUGCCAGCUUGAACGGCUGGUGAACAUACUUGGUGGGGAUAAAAUAACAAGAAGGGCAUUGAAGCUUCCUCAAGAGUUGAAUAAGAAGAAGAAAAUGAAGGCCUUGCGCAUACUGUCAGGGAUUGAGAUUGUUGGGGGAUUGGCGGACCUUCAUCAUUUGACUGAGCUGAGGAAGCUUGCCAUCUACAAGCUCAGCACCAUGAGUGACGAUCCAAGUUUCAAAGAUUUAAGCUCCUCUAUCGAGUACCUUGGGGGCUACUCUCUGAACACCCUCAUAAUUGAUGACGAGUCAUCCAAGUUUAUCAAUUCACUGGAUGACCUGUCAUCACCACCAAAGUUCCUUGUUGCCCUUGAGUUAUCUGGCAAGAUGGUUCAGCUCCCCAGCUGGAUCACACAACUCAGUGCUCUCACCAAGCUAACCCUUUCAGUAACAGCUCUCCGGACAGAUAACCUGCUGCUCCUUAGCAAUCUAGAUGCACUGUUCUCCCUCACAUUCUCAUUCAGGGCAGAAAAGCAGGAUUCGGAGACACUGACCAUUCUGGCAGAAAACAAGCUGUGCUCUGAUGGGGAGAUCACAAUCCCAAAUGCUGGUUUUAAGAGCCUUAAGCUUCUUCGCUUCUUUGCUCCUCUCUUGCCAGUACUGACCUUUUCGAAGAAUGCCAUGCCAGAGCUGGAGAGGCUUGAGCUACAGUUCAGCAUGCUGGAGGGGCUUUAUGGCGUGGAAAACCUUGCGGGAAUCAAGGUGGUGCAUCUGACAUUGAAGGACAAAGACGGUGAAUAUAUGACGAAAGAGGUGCAGCACGAGGUGGAGACAGCAGUGAAGAGGAGGACCGAUGGCAAGGUGCCCAAGAUAAUCCUCGAUCAGUGACCGAUUCAAAGCAAGUGCCCAGUUCUUUGCAAGUCUGCAAGUUUGAAGUCAUCAUAUAUUCACAUUCUUGCCUGUUCUCAGAUACUUUCACGCCACGUAUGCUGUACUCUCUCGAAGAAGGAAGGAUGAUACUGUGAAAAGAAGGAUGAUGCUUCAUCCAGGCAGGAGCAGUGGGAGGGAACAAAUUUGUAAAGCAGCACAGCAGUGGAAGGGAACAAAAAGUGGGAGCCCAACCGUGGUUCUUUGCAAGCCUGUAAGUUUGCAAUCAUCGCAUUAAUUCUUGCCUGUUCCUCAGAUAUUCUCAUGCUACAGCUGCUUUGCUCUCUCGAAGAAGGAAGGACGAUACUGUGAAAAGAAGGAUGACGUGUCAUCCAGGGACGUCGCAUGACAGUCGGAUUAAAUGUUUUAUUCGCGGCAGUUAUGCUAAAUGUCCUGCUCGUCGUGCUGGUAUGUGCGUGCGCUAGCUGCAGGUUUGAUCAUCAGUUAACAAGAUGUUGUGUAAUUCUCUUUGAUGCAGAUGCUGUAAAGUUGAUGCAAGACAGUGGUCAUGCAUUUAUGUGUGCUCGUCUCUGGACAUCUGGUACCAGAAAGUUGCAAACUGUUGAACAUGCUGUAAUGGAGAUGCAGAGAAUUCUUGUCCAUGGUUUCUGUAUUAUUAUUUUUUGUUGUAAAAAUUCAUCAUCCGGGCGCCUGACACUGCAAGGUCCAUGUAUUAUUACGUAUUAUGGUUUCUGUAUUAUUAUUAUUUUUGUUGUGAUGAAGGUC